GCUGGCGGCGUGCUUAACACAUGCAAGUCGAACGGAAAGGCGCUGCUUUGGUGGGGUGGUCGAGUGGCGAACGGGUGAGUAACACGUGAGUAACCGGCCCUUGUUUUUGGAAUAACUUCAGGAAACUGGGGCUAAUACCGGAUAUGAGCUCCUGCUGCAUGGUGGGGGUUGGAAAGUUUCGGCGGUUGGGGAUGGACUCGCGGAUUAUCAACUUGGUGGGGGGGUAGUGGCUUACCAAGGCUAUGACGGGCAGCCGGCCUGAGAGGAUGAUCAGCCACACUGGGACUGAGAUACGGCCCAGACUCCUACGGGAGGCAGCAGU
rnacentral:rRNA from 1 species